AGUGCAUAUCAAUAUCACCUACUAGAUGCCAGGCAUAUCACUGGCCACUGGGGCUGCAGCUCAUCUCUGCCUCCAUAAGCUUGCAUACCGGGAGAGGCAGAAACGCAGCCUGAUGUGAUGGUGGGCUGAUGGCAGAAGUUCACGGAACCUUAGGGCUGCAUGGGUGUGGCCCCUAAGGGUCCGGGAAGGCUUCCUUUCCCAAGGAGGAGGUGAUGACUGAACUGAGACUAGUAGAUUGGCAGGAAUAAAUUAAGUCACAGUUGGAGAGGGUGUCCCUGUGCCAAGGCCCAGAGGUCAGCAAGCCAGGCCAUUGGGAGAACUCACCCCACCCACCUCUCUGCUCUGGGACUCUACCCUGCGCAGCCCAUGCCUCUGGAAGCCACCGACUCUUGCUGGAAGAGAGCUCCUUCCAGCACCAUUGAACGGCUGGCUGUUGCUGGGGCUUCUCUCAGCCCUUCCAGCUUCCCUGCUGCCUGGCCUACCUACUCCAUCUCCAGGGAAGCAGGAUUCAUUCUAGGCCCGAUUUAUUAGCCUCAUCCUGGAGUCAUCCCAGAUGCUGUGGCUGGUCUCAUUUACUGACCUGCCUGAGGGCCGAGAAAGGAAAUUCAUUAGGCCUGCAGAGCCCAUGGCCAGGCCCAUCUGUCUGGGCAUCUGCCUCCCUUCCCCUCCCCUUCCAUUCUCCUCUCCUCUUCCUUUUUCUCCCCUCCCCUCCUAUUCUCUCCCCCCACAAAGGAAGGAGGCUCUGUGCCUGAGUCUCUGCUCAGGACUACCAAGGCAGUGACACCACAGAGCCUGGUCCCCGGGGAGGAUCCUGACCAAGGAGGAAGAAAGGCACAGAGGUCUGGAGAAACUCCUCUGCAGCCUCCAGUACUGCACCCCAAGGUCCCCCAACCUCCUACCAGACCCAGGAAACACACACUCUCCAUCUGGGGAUUUGGAAACCUCUCUCCCAGGUAUACCAGACCUGCCUGUUUUUAUGCAAAAGGUGUCUUCCUGGCAAGUUGUAUGGAAAUAAGAUCUCCUGAAAUAGAUUGCUACCUUUAAAGCAAAAGGCAAGGCAGCCUCGGAGGCAUUUCCAUUCCUGGCACAGGGCCAGUAAGGUGAUGCGACAGAACAGAGGACUCGAUGCUUUUUAUAUUCGUAUGUCUUAAAGGUACAAAAAUAUAUAUAAACGUAUAAUUAGCAUAUCUAACCCUUGACUACACAAGAUGAAAUUGCUUUGAAUAAAGGUAAAAUGGGUAUUUACAUUUUUAAAAGCAGAUCAAUUUAAAGAAAAAUUCUAAGUAUAGUUACAGAAGAUAUACAGUAUUUGGCAAAGACACUAGAGUUUAGGACACAUCAUUCUAAAAGAGUAAGUCAGUGAACGCGUUGCUAAGGUUAAACUUCUUGUGAGAUGAAGCAAACCUUGAUUUCAGCAGCGCAUCUCAUGGAGGGAAGCUACAACCCCAGGUACCUUGCCAAGCCGGCACCUGCUCCCCUCAGCCUGCAGAAGAGAAGCCAUCCGAAACAGAUCACAUGUGUGCAGUGACCCCGGAGGUUUAAGCAAACAUGGCCUCAGGCCUCGGUAAAUGUUUAGACUUAGUGACUGGCUGGCAAGGGGUGAGGCCUCAGGCUCUCUGUCCCUGACAGCUGUCCCUGUGUGGGCAGGCUGGGGGGUGAUGAUGGGGAGGGAAGACCUGGGUCAAACUCCUCACCCUGUGCUCAUCUUUUCUGACCUAAGGAGAGCUGACACUCUUGGAGUGUUUUUGCAGCUUCUGUGUGGGUAAUAGCCUGGAGCCUGUCUCCCUCUCUCUUUCUCUCUCUCUCUCUCUCUCUCUCACACACACACACACACACACACACACACACAGAGCAAUUACUGCACCCAGCUACCUCUAUAUACAUGUACACAAAGCCACACAGUUUACACAUCACAGGUAUACAUUAUUCACACAUAGAUACAUAUAUAGACACAUAUGUAUAGUCCCUCCAAAAUAUAUGUACACAAAAGCACACCAUUAUACCUUCAUAUGUGCACACACACACUCACCCAGACUCACUUCAUACACACAUAGAUACAACCAUCACAGCUCACAGUCACACACACACACACACACACGGACACCCAGCUCUAAUAUAAUCAGAUAGAGCUAUGCAUGCAGACAUAUUUGCCUGUAUAGUCAAACACAUAAGCAAAUAAAAGAGAACCAGACACCACAUUGGCAAAGGCAAACCUAUACCAAAGACACAGAGCACACAGGCACAUAUAUCUAUAGACCCGCCAUGGCACUUACGGGUAAGUGCACAUAGGCACACACAUCCACAAGCAUGCACAGGUAGAGAACAUAAUCCCAGUGUAGUAAAGAACAGCACAGCUUUAGCUUGGGAACAUCACAUCAGACACAAUAGCACCGGCUGCAACAUGCAUUUCCUCGGCUGUCAGCUUCCCAGCCAUAGAGGAUGCCCAGGGCACUGGCCUAAGCCAGGCAACUGGGCACAGCAAAGAAGACACCCCCUCCACCCCCUUUGUCAGCUCCCAUCUGCUCCACCUCACAAGAAACUCAGAAGCUGAGGAGUCAGGGAGACCAAGAUCACACCCAGGCUGUUCUCGCCCACCAAGUCUUUGUCAUGAGGUUUGUAUCAGUCACCCUGUCUGCUGCUACAGCACAGUGCCAGCUGGCCCACAAAGACCAUUCGGUGUAGUGAAGUCGAGCAGACCCAAGGUCAAGCGCUGCCUCUGCCCUCCACAGCUGCGGACCGUGAGCAGGUCACUUCACCUUUCCCAAUCUCAGUAGCCUCAUCUGUAAAGUGGGUGUAAUGAUAACACCCAGCUCAAAGAAGAGUGUGAAGAUUAAAUUAGUUGUGCAUGUACUGACCACUUAGCAAAGCUCCUGCCAUGCAGUAGGCACACUAUAAACCAGGUAUUUGUGAGAAAACUUGGCACUAUUGACAUUUUGAGCUGCAUAAUUUUUCAUUGCUGCGGGGGCGCUCUGUGCAUUGUAGGACAUUAGCAGCUUCCAUGGCCCCACCUGCUCUGAGCACCCCCUUCCAAGUUGUGACAACCAAAAGUGUCUCUAGACAUUGCCAAGUGACCCCUGGGUGGUUAGCGGCAGGGGGAGCUGCCCCCACUGAGAGCCACUGCUAUGCAUGUUAACUUCUGUUUUUGUUGUUGGGCUCCUCACUGGUAGUAUACAGGCUAUGAGAUGAUCAGAACAAAAAGGGAACCUGAGGCUGGAAUGAAGAUGCACUGUGGCUCCUGUAAUCAUUUCCCUCCUCUCUCCCUCUCCCCUUUCUCCACCUUUGCUGCUGAAGCCACCUUGCAGGGGCAGUCCUGGUCUUGUGAACAGCUGGAGGAAAGACAGUUGAGAGUGGUCAGAGAAGAUCCUGGGCAGAAACCUGAAUGGAUUGAAGGACAGAAGAGCCUGGGGAAGGAAGAUCCAGGGAAGUGUGACCCUCCAGAAGGCCUCUGAGGGCAAAUACACAGAGGUGGAACAUACUGGAAAUGCUCAGAGCAACCAGACCAAUCCCUUGGGGAAGAGCUGCAGAUAUGAGGGAAGACAGCAAGACCUGCAUGAUGUGUGUUUUCAGUUGCUGGGAAACAGAGAGACCCACUGGAGUCCCACAGGCUGGAUGGUUUUGUUUUUUCACCCAGGGUAAAAUCUUAACUAGUUGCUACUAUUUAUGUAUUAGGAGGUUUCCUGAAAAAAAUCAAAAUUUCUGAAUUUUUUUGAAAAAUCAGAAAACAUGGCCACCCAGCCCUGUAUUCCUACAUGGUGGCAGCAGUGGGAGCAGACCUGUUGCUGUGCCCUUGUGGAUCUGUGCUCUCUAGUUCGCCAUGGUCCCUGCCCCUCUGUAUUAUCUCCGGGAUGCAAUAGCCUGGUGUCACCUGCAGUUGGCCACCAUGCUUGAGCUGUUGUGUUUUGAAUAUGUGGCCCACUUCCCUCAUUCGUGUGAACUGCCUUGUCCACAGAGACAUACUCUUGUGAUUCUGACUCUAGAAUGUCUCCUUUAAAAAGUGUUUUAGGACAUAAAGAUAUAUACAUGCUCUAAUCCAUUACUACCCAAUUAGCUAUUGUUGUGGAACCCUGAGUCAUUUUUCUCAAAAUUCUCCUGGCAAAUAUGUUCCCUCUGAAAUCUUCCUCCCCACAUCCCCUGGAAAUAGAAUCUCCUGCCCACGGCUGUAGUGGUCCCUUUCUCUGCAUCCCCCACUAUUCCUCUUCUUUUGGAUCUUGCCAAGGGUUAUGGUCUGCAGUUUUCUAUACCCUUUCAUUCCCUUGCCCUAACCCCCUCGCCUGCCCACUAUGGAAACCUGGCCCUCCCUCCCCGCUGUGGAAACGUGGACCUGUGCUCUGCUUCCCUGCAGCUCUCCAUGGCUAGUGUUCUUUUUUUGCAUCUGGUAGGUAAAAGGAACCAAAGACAAACAUUUACAAGGAACGGAGGACAGGGACGGGUCAGGUUUCUUAAGCUUCUUGGAGCCGGAAUGUCGAUCACCAACUCUAUACCCUUAACAAUUCGCUCUGGACAGUGGCAUAAUAAAUCUGUGCCUUCCACUUUCAGAGAUGAAUAAACAAGAAUGUCUUAUCUCAGAUGUUUGAGGCCUCCCCUCUUUGGCUUUCUAUUCUACUGCCUCUGUUUAGACCUGUGCCACUUGCAAACUUGCCACGGCCUCCCAUCCAGCCUUCCUGCUUCCAGCUCACCCACUCCUGUCCAUCUUCUGCCCUGCCUCAAUCUUCAUCAGGUCUCCCCUCUAUGUGAAUUUGAUCGAGAGCUCCCUAUCACCUUAGAGUGAAGCCCAGGCCCUUGACCAACCAGGCAGGGCUCACCUAAGUUCCCAGCCUCAUUGCUCAUUUCUCACCAUGAGCCCUGGCACUCAGGUCAGGAAGUCAGGAAGCUCUCACCUGGUUUUCCUUGCCCACAUUUUUUUUCCCUCUAUCAGAAAAACUUAUCUCAUUAGGAUGGAGUUGGGUAGGAGGGACACUUGCACAGAUCCUUCAGGAAUCAGUUUAAACACCAAUUCCUCCCCACCCUUUGUCUGACUGCCUGUCUCCACCAAAGCAUUUAGAUUGUUUUGUUUCUCCUCUGCUCCUACCUCUGCUGUGGCCUGCCUGCUUGCACAAUUUACCGAUCCGUUUCCUCCAGACUCUGAGGCCCCAGACAGAGACCCUCUGGCUUGUCUCUGUGUCCUCAGAACAUGGCCCAGGAUCUGGCAUGAGGACAGCCUAAUCCAAGCUUGAGGAAUUGAAUGAUGCAGUACUGAAUUUCAGCAAAGACACACAGAGGUUGUUCAUAAAAGGCUGUCCUUGGGUUUUUUAAAAAUAUGUUUCUUGCUUCCUAGAAGCAAGGACCAUUCUUCAAGACAAUGACCAUGGGCCUCUCUCCACCCUUGCCAGC